AUACCUACCUGGCGUCGGGAUACCGUGAUCAUGCAGGCGGUUCCCCGGGGUACAGCUGUUUCAUUGCACUGCGGAGUGGUUUUUUACCCUUGCGAUUAUUUUUAUACUUUAUAAGUUUCACUUCUACCGUGUGUGACUUGCACAUGCACACACACA